rnacentral:rRNA from 1 species
AUGCAGUCAGAGGUUUUGGCAAGCUUUUGGUUUGGGACAAACUUUAGAGCUGUAAGGGCAUCUUCAAGCGGACCCGUAAACCUCCCGCAACCCUUCAAACUGCGCUGCCCGCCGCAGAGGCACGGGAGGGUCGGAGAGCGCGCCGUCCACGAUCUGGUCGAAGACGAACUUGUUGGCCGCCUCGGUGAAGUGCACGCCGUCCCAGCUCACGCUCCUGAACGGGUCCUCGCACGGCUUCCCCGCCAGCACCGACGUGCCGUUCACCUCCAUCUUGUCGCCGCACCGGAUGUCCCUGUCGAAGUUGUACUGGCCGCCGCCGUACCCGCAGCACACGCGCAGGGGGUCCCCAAAACCGAGCUUUUUGGCUUGGCUUAUCAGCCUGUACUUGGCGGCGUAGACGUCGACGUAGGUGAAGGCGGCGCCGGGGAGCGUCGCCCUGAGCCUGUCCACGGUCUCGUUGAGCCGCGCGUUGAAGAACCGGGCGCCGGCGUUGAGCUCGACGGAGCAGCCGGCGCCGUCCUUCUCUGCGGCGGCGAGGUCCGGGCGGAACGUCAAGGCGUACGGCAGGCACCCGAGCGGCGCCGUGUUGUGCACCCAGAAGUACCUCCCCCCGAGGUUGUACACGGUCUGGAUCGCCGACGAGAUCCUCUCCAUCAGAUCGGGGACGUAGGCCUCGACUUGCUUGGUGGUCAUGUUGUCGAAGUAGCCCACGGUGAGGUCGUUCUGGCCGAUGUCCAAGGUGUAAAGCGCCUUGGAUAUCAAGUUCUCGGGGUUCGGCAGGAUUUCCCGAUAGAUUCCACCUGCAGACAGUUUAAGCUUCCAGUGAAAAAUUAUUUCCUCCGUUCAUUUUUGCAAGUCGUUUCAGAUAAUUCAAAAUAG